GAUGAAGAACGUAGCGAAAUGCGAUAAGUAGUGUGAAUUGCAGAAUUCCGUGAAUCAUCGAAUCUUUGAACGCACAUUGCGCCUCCUGGUAGUCCGGGAGGCAUGCCUGUUCGAGCGUCACCAAAUCCAACUCAAGCGGUUUUGCGCUUGGUCGUGGCGGAAGAGUCGGUCUGGUUGCCGUCUCCCCUCCGAAAAUCAACGGCGGAAAGUCACUGGCAGUCAGCGUAGUAGUAUCGUUCGCCGAACAUCCAGUGGCAUUCCUGCCGACGUACCCCCACAAUUCUCGUGAUUGACCUCGGAUCAGGUAGGGAUAACCGCUGAACUUAAGCAUAUCAAUAAGCGGAGGA
rnacentral:misc_RNA from 1 species